rnacentral:rRNA from 1 species
CCCGUAAUCGGAAUGAGUACACUUUAAAUCCUUNAACGAKGAUMCAUUGGAGGGCAAGUCUGGUNCCAGCAGCCGCGGUAAUUCCAGCUMCWAUAGCGUAUAUNAAAGUUGUUGCGGUUAAAAAGCUCGUAGUUGAAUCUGUGUGCCWCAAUGUCGGUCCGCCGCUCGCGGUGGUUACUNGCAUCACGUGGGACGUCCUACCGGUGGACUCAGCCCUCNUUCNGGGGCGGUCCAACUAAUAUCCCAUCGCGGUGCUCUUCAUUGAGUGUCGAGGUGGGCCGGURCGUUUACUUUGAACAAAUUAGAGUGCUUAAAGCAGGCUACUUUCGCCUGAAUACUGUGUGCAUGGAAUAAUGGAAUAGGACCUCGGUUCUAUUUUGUUGGUUUUCGGAACCCCGAGGUAAUGAUUAAUAGGGACAGAUGGGGGCAUUCGUAUUGCGACGUUAGAGGUGAAAUUCUUGGAUCGUCGCAAGACGGACAGAAGCGAAAGCAUUUGCCAAAAAUGUUUUCAUUAAUCAAGAACGAAAGUUAGAGGUUCGAAGGCGAUCAGAUACCGCCCUAGUUCUAACCAUAAACGAUGCCAGCUAGCGAUCCGCCGAAGUUCCUCCGAUGACUCGGCGGGCAGCUUCCGGGAAACCAAAGCUUUUGGGUUCCGGGGGAAGUAUGGUUGCAAAGCUGAAACUUAAAGGAAUUGACGGAAGGGCACCACCAGGAGUGGAGCCUGCGGCUUAAUUUGACUCAACACGGGAAACCUCACCAGGCCCGGACACCGGAAGGAUURACAGAUUGAUAGCUCUUUCU